rnacentral:rRNA from 1 species
AAUCAACGCUGGCGGCGUGCCUAACACAUGCAAGUCGAACGCGAAAGUCCCGCAAGGGAUCAGUAGAGUGGCAAACGGGUGAGUAACACGUGGGUGACCUGCCUUCGAGCGGGGGAUAACGUCCCGAAAGGGACGCUAAUACCGCAUAACAUCCUGCCUUUGAAGAGGUGGAGAUCAAAGCUGGGGAUCGCAAGACCCGGCACUUGAAGAGGGGCCCGCGCCUGAUUAGCAGUUGGUGAGGUAACGGCUCACCAAGGCAACGAUCAGUAUCCGGCCUGAGAGGGCGGACGGACACACUGGGACUGAGACACGGCCCAGACUCCUACGGGAGGCAGCGAGUGGGGAAUUGUUCGCAAUGGGCGCAAGCCUGACGACGCAACGCCGCGUGGAGGAUGAAG